rnacentral:rRNA from 1 species
UACGGAGGGUGCGAGCGUUAUCCGGAAUCACUGGGUUUAAAGGGUGCGUAGGCGGCUCGAUAAGUCAGUUGUGAAAGCCCCUUGCUUAACGAGGGAGGUGCGAUUGAUACUGUCGAGCUUGAAUCGGGAUGAGGCAGGCGGAAUGUGGCAUGUAGCGGUGAAAUGCAUAGAUAUGCCAUAGAACACCGAUUGCGAAGGCAGCCUGCUGGGCCUUAUUUGACGCUGAGGCACGAAAGCGUGGGGAGCGAACAGG